rnacentral:rRNA from 1 species
AGAACGAACGUUGGCGGCGUGGAUUAGGCAUGCAAGUCGAACGAAUCCCAUCCGGGUAACUGGGUGGGGGAAGUGGCGAAAGGGGCAGUAAGGCAUGGGCAACCUACCCCGGGGACGGGCAUAGCCGUCCUAACGGACGGGUAAUACCUGGCGAUUCGGCGAGGGGGCAUCCCCUUGCCGGGAAACGAGUUUCGCCUCGGGAGGGGCUCAUGUAGUAUUAGCUUGUUGGUAAGGUAACGGCUUACCAAGGCGAAGAUGCUUAGCGGGUGUGAGAGCACGACCCGCGCCACUGGCACUGAGACACUGGCCAGACUCCUACGGGAGGCUGCAGUCGAGGAUCUUCGGCAAUGGGCGCAAGCCUGACCGAGCGACGCCGCGUGUGCGAAGAAGGCCUUCGGGUUGUAAAGCACUGUCGAGGGGAGAAAGCCGCAAGGUUGAUCGACCCCUGGAGGAAGCACGGGCUAAGUUCGCGCCAGCGCCGC